AUGAUCAAUGUUAUAUUCAUGUGUCUGUGGCUUUUACUAGGUGACUCCAUGGCAGAUUCAAUAGAGACACUUUUCACUCAUAAAGUUGUAGAUGAAGGUGAUGAUGUUACUCUGUCCUGCAAAUACGACUCAAGCUUUACUUCAGGAAACAACUUCCUGCACUGGUACAGACAAUAUCCAAAAUACAAACCUGAGUUCCUUCUUUAUAUUGUUGAUACUGGUGAAAUGAGUCACAACACUCCCGCAAGAAUGUCUGCUAAAGUUAAUAGAGAUAAUAAAGUAGUGGAUCUGAUCAUCUCCUCUGCUGCUGUAUCAGACUCUGCUCUAUACUACUGUGCUCUGGCGCCCACAGUGACAGGAAAUCCAGCUGCACUGUACAAAAACUCACAGACUGCUGUUGUUUGUUUUUGA